GAGUUUGAUCAUGGCUCAGGAUGAACGCACAAGACGUGCCUAACACAUGCAAAUCGAAUGAAAACAAUUUAAUUAAAUUGUUUUCAUGGUGAACGGGUGAGUAACACAUAAGAAUCAGCUUUUAGAUAAGGCAUAAAAGAGUAAUAUCUUGGUAAUUCCUUAUAUGCGCAGCAGUGCUUAAAAAGGGGACUCCCGUCUAAAAACGAGCUUAUGCCUGAUUAGCUAGUUGGCGAGUUAAAAGCUCACCAAGGCGAAGAUCAGUAGCUGGCCUGAGAGGGCGGCCAGCCACAUUGGGACUGAGACACGGCCCAAACUCCUACGGGAGGCAGCAGUGGGGAAUCUUCUGCAAUGGGCGCAAGCCUGACAGAGCGGCGUCAUGUGAAGGAAGAAGGCCUGAAAUAGGUUGUAAACUUCUUUUACUGAGUAAUGAAUACUGACAACGCAGUAAAAAAGUAUCGGCUAACUCCGUGCCAGCAGCCGCGGUAAUACGGGGGAUGCAAGCGUUAUCCGGAAUCACUGGGCGUAAAGCGUCUGUAGGUGGUUUAGUGUGUUCUUAGUUAAAUUAUGAAGCCUAACUUCAUGAAAAGUAAGAAAACUAUUAGACUUGAGUACGAUAGGGGUAAGAGGAAUUCUUCGAGAAGUAGUGAAAUGCGAAGAUACGAAGGAGAAGAUCAUAAGCGAAGGCUUCUUACUGGGUCGUAACUGACACUGAGAGACGAAAGCUAGGGGAGCGAAUGGGAUUAGAUACCCCAGUAGUCCUAGCUGUAAACGAUGGAUAUUCGGUGCCGGAUUUUAUUAGAACAUUUCGGUACCCUAGCUAACGCGUUAAAUAUCCCGCCUGAGGAGUACGCUCGCAAGGGUGAAACUCAAAGGAAUUGACGGGGGCUCGCACAAGCGGUGGAGCAUGUGG
rnacentral:rRNA from 1 species